rnacentral:sRNA from 1 species
CCCGAGCGAUCAUAAGGGAGCUGACUGCAAAUCUGCCGUCAUCGACUUCAAGGUUCGACUCGAGCGAAAGAACGUUGCCAACGGUAACGGCCCGUAGGGUGAGGAGUGAAGCGACGAAUAAUCCUUCCUCCACCACCA